CAACAUAUGAUCAGUGUCUUCUCCAUAGUCACUGAGUACACAAGGCCCACACCAUGUGCUGGAGUUGUAUAAUUCUCUUCCUUGUGUCAGCAACAACAGGUGUCCACUCCCAGGUACAACUACAUCAGUCAGGGCCUGAACUGGGGAGACCUGCAACCUCAGUGAAAUUGUCCUGCAAGGCUUCAGGCUAUGCUUUCUCUAACUACCAUAUGCACUGGGUGAAGCAGAGGCCUGGACAGGGCCUGGAGUGGAUUGGAAGGAUUUAUCCUAAUAGUGAUGGUACUAUCUACAAUGAGAAGUUCAAGGGCAAGGCCACACUGACUACAGACAUAUCAUCUAGCACAGCUUACAUGGAGCUCAGCAGCCUGACAGCUGAAGACUCUGCAGUCUAUUUCUGUGCAAGACACAGUGUUGCAACCACAUCCUGA